rnacentral:tRNA from 2 species
UGGGGCGUAGCCAAGCGGUAAGGCAGCGGGUUUUGAUCCCGCGAUGCGUAGGUUCGAAUCCUAGCGCCCCAGCCA